CUCAAUAAUAAUCAUAAUUUUAGAAUAGAUUUUUGACAACUUCUUAAACACUAAAAAUAUUUAAUAUUUUUUAACAAAACAUGCACUUCAUACAAUAUAAAUAGAUCAAAUCAUAUUCUAUUUGUUACUUGCGAAGAGAGAAAAAUAUGGUUAAAACUCUACAUUUUGUGUGUGCGAUUAUUUUAUUUUUUUCGGUAUUUCAGGUUGCAAUGAACCAAAAGCACGAUAUUGAUUGUGAAACUGAUAAGGAUUGCCCAGAAGAUCCGUAUCGCAUGUUUGUUUGUUUUAGGGACAAAUGUUGGAAACUUUAUCUAAAGCCAGAAGUUUAUCCUGUUAUACCUAUUCCAUGAGUAUUAAACCUAUGAGAGUACAAUUACGCCAUGCAGGGAAGAAUGAGAGUUCUUACUCUAAUAAAAAAUCAAACCAAUUAAUAUACCUUAUGCUAAUAUAUUCCAAGUUUGGAAUUUAGUUACUAUGUUGCACCUAAUAAAUGUAUGCUUUACUUUUUUUUCUUUUUUUUUUUUAAUUUCACAUACCUUGCAAUUAUGGUUUUGUACUCUAAGAUGUUGUUCAUUAAAUGAAAUAAGGAUCUAAAUUUUUUAAUAA